rnacentral:rRNA from 1 species
CCUAUCCUACGGGAGGCAGCAGUCGGGAAUAUUGCGCAAUGGAGGAAACUCUGACGCAGUGACGCCGCGUGCAGGAAGAAGGUUUUCGGAUUGUAAACUGCUUUAGACGGGGAAGAAACAAGACAGUACCUGUAGAAUAAGCUCCGGCUAACUACGUGCCAGCAGCCGCGGUAAUACGGAGGGCGCGAGCGUUAAUCGGAAUUACUGGGCGUAAAGCGCGCGUAGGCUGUUGUGCAAGUUGGGGGUGAAAUCCCACGGCUCAACCGUGGAACAGCCCUUGAUACUGCGCGACUUGAAUCCGGGAG